UCUCUCUCCCGCAGGUGUGACUCAGAUCUGCAGCCAAUGAUUGAUCCCGCCCGUGCACCAGACCCGACACGUUGGUUCCUCCUUCUUGGCCCGCAGAAGUGGAAUCGAAUGCUCCUCCCGUCGAAGCGUCCUUUCUUUAUUGAGGGAACCAGUCAAAACGUCUUUGAUGCGAGUGUGAGGCCGCCCCGUCUCCCGUCCCCCAUAAAUCUCUCCCCAGACGAUACAGACCACGCCGCGACGUACGCAACAGAACACAACCGCUUCUAGGGUUUGCGACCGUCGGUGUGUAGGACUGGUGGCUACGAUGACGAUGGCAGGGCAAGGGCGACCUCAAGAUGAUUGAUCUGGAGGGAAUGGAUGGAGCUUCAUCAUGCAGAAGGGUAUCAACAUCUUCGAGGGCAAGUCGGAGCCACGGUUCUGCUCCGAAGAAAGCAUGAUCGAUCUGGGGGAAUGGAUGAUGCUCUGCAUACCAAAGAAUGAUAUCAAGAAGCUGGAAAUGUGAAACUGCAUUCUGGAUGCUUUUGGACGAGUCCUGGAUCCAGCCCUGUCUUCAUCAAGCUCUAACUCUGCAGAUAGGGAGGAAGCCGUCUAGGCUGCUUGGUUCUAGGUGAUAAGCUUAUGAGCGGGGACAAGUGAUGAUCUGGUGGACCUGCUUAUGGCACUUCUCCUUAUCUACCUUGACAACUCAUCUGGUCGUCGGUGUCCCAUCUCCUGAGAUGUGCGGGUGUUGAGCCCAGCGACAUGGAUGUAGUCUGAUUUGAGGAUGGCUGUUUUUACUUUUUCUUUAGUAAUUCUGAUGCUGUCUAAAUGAUCAUCCUCUAUUUCAGGUUGAAGGUCUUCAUUGUUGCAUAUUCAAAGUUACAUUGGACACGUAUAAUACAUAGUUCCUGAUGUAAUAAAAUUUUCGUCUGACUUUUCAUCUGUGCUAUUCAGCUAUCCAUUAGUUUCCAUCACAAUAAUGGUGUUUUGUUGUUGAGACAAGCAGGUUAGUGAUUGUUGGCUUUGCUGAAUUGGUAGAUUUUAGUUCAGUUAAAAACUGCCGAACUACUGAAUUGGUGACCUUUCUCUAUAACUCUUUCUUUGUGCGUGGCUUCUUCGUUUCAAUUUCUUUGUAUAAACACCACUGUUACAAUUUGAUGAAAGCAACACUUUUGUAUGUACAUCCUUUAAUAGAUAUGUUUUCCCAAGAAAAGGCGAGAUGUUUUAAUUCACUGGUAAGUUACUAUUUUCUUUAAACGGUUUAUUUCUCCUCAUUAGAACUUUUAGCAAAAAAUAUUCCGCAGCAACGCGCGGGGAAUCAUCUAGUUUAGGAUAAUAAUUGGAGAGGUAUUUUAUAGCUUUGAGGAUAAUGGAUUGCAUUGAGAGAACAUUGUCAAACAUGAAUAAUUCAAUGCAUCCAGAGUGAAUUAUGAUAAAAUAUCUCAUGCAAAACAGAUUCUCGAGAGAUAAAUAUAGCAUGGGUUUAUUAACGUUACAACACCAAGAUUCACAAGCAUUUCAGAGUGAAAUCUCAUGAUAUUCCACCUGCCAAACAGAUAUACCAACGAUAACAUUGUAGCGGGGGUGUUAUUAUCGUUAAUUUUGGAAUUCCCUAGAGGCAAUAAUAUUGUAUUAUUAUAUUUCCCUAUUCACAAUUAAGAGUUUAUA